AAUGAACGCUGGCGGCAGGCCUAAAACAUGCAAGUCGAACGCUCUAGCAAUAGGGAGUGGCGCACGGGUGAGUAACACGUGGGAAUAUGCCUUUUGGUACGGAACAACAUUUGGAAACGAAUGCUAAUACCGUAUGGUCCCUCCGGGUAAAGAUUAUCGCCAAAGAAUUAGCCCGCGUUAGAUUAGCUAGUUGGUAGGGUAAUGGCCUACCAAGGCGACGAUCUAUAGCUGUUCUGAGAGGAAGAUCAGCCACACUGGGACUGAGACACGGCCCAGACUCCUACGGGAGGCAGCAGUUAGGAAUAUUGGACAAUGGGCGGCAAGACCU
rnacentral:rRNA from 1 species